UUGGCUUAGAAGCAGCCAUCAUUUAAAGAAAGCGUAAUAGCUCACUGGUCGAGUCGGCCUGCGCGGAAGAUGUAACGGGGCUAAACCAUGCACCGAAGCUGCGGCAGCGACGCUUAUGCGUUGUUGGGUAGGGGAGCGUUCUGUAAGCCUGUGAAGGUGUACUGUGAGGUAUGCUGGAGGUAUCAGAAGUGCGAAUGCUGACAUAAGUAACGAUAAAGCGGGUGAAAAGCCCGCUCGCCGGAAGACCAAGGGUUCCUGUCCAACGUUAAUCGGGGCAGGGUGAGUCGACCCCUAAGGCGAGGCCGAAAGGCGUAGUCGAUGGGAAACAGGUUAAUAUUCCUGUACUUGGUGUUACUGCGAAGGGGGGACGGAGAAGGCUAUGUUGGCCGGGCGACGGUUGUCCCGGUUUAAGCGUGUAGGCUGGUUUUCCAGGCAAAUCCGGAAAAUCAAGGCUGAGGCGUGAUGACGAGGCACUACGGUGCUGAAGCAACAAAUGCCCUGCUUCCAGGAAAAGCCUCUAAGCAUCAGGUAACAUCAAAUCGUACCCCAAACCGACACAGGUGGUCAGGUAGAGAAUACCAAGGCGCUUGAGAGAACUCGGGUGAAGGAACUAGGCAAAAUGGUGCCGUAACUUCGGGAGAAGGCACGCUGAUAUGUAGGUGAAGUCCCUCGCGGAUGGAGCUGAAAUCAGUCGAAGAUACCAGCUGGCUGCAACUGUUUAUUAAAAACACAGCACUGUGCAAACACGAAAGUGGACGUAUACGGUGUGACGCCUGCCCGGUGCCGG
rnacentral:rRNA from 1 species